rnacentral:rRNA from 1 species
AGCUGUGUUUACACAGCACUCAUCUUGAAACACGGACCAAGGAGAUUUCCGGCACAGCGAGGGGAAGGCACUAUGGCCUGUACCGAGAGAGAUUUGAGAGUUGUGUCGGUAAGACCCGAAAGAUAGUGAACUAUGCCUGUUGGUAUUGAAGUCAGGAGAAAUUCUGAUGGAGGAUAUUAGCCGUUCUGAUGUUCAAUUCGAUGGCGAGAGAUGGGCAUAGGGGCGAAAGACCAAACGAACUAUCUGGUAGCUGGUUCCAGUCGAAAUGUCUCUCAGGACAGCGGUUGGCAGAUAGGAGGAUGCAGUAGAGAGGAUGUGGACGAAGUCAACAAACUCCGAAUGUGUGUAGUGGGGCACGUAGUGUUCCACACUCUAGGGCCAACCAGUGGGCAGAUUGUGGUAAGCAUGAUCUGCAAGGAGCAAAGAAGCUUGAAGGUGGAUAAGCGACCAAAGACAGAACAGGCAAUAAAGUAGAUGCUCAAGUGAAGACAGUAGGGCGGUGGCCAUGGAGGUUGGAAUCCGCUAAGAAACGUGUUAGAACGUACCUAUCGAAUUUGGGAUUGACUAAAAUUGAAGGUGGUUAUCUGUGUUUGCGAGACCAGUAUAUUGGUAGACUGGCAAGAGGGCAGCGGAGAAGGAUGACGGAGACGUUGUGUGGAGGGGCCCUCUGAGCAGAUCUUGGAAGUAGUAGCGAUUAUGAUUAAGGCAUUGAGUCGGGUUCAUCCUUUGAAUUGAAGGAGGUGAUGCGAUCCUAAGUAAAGGGGAAUGUGUUUUUAUUCACAUGAUAGCUCUGAGAUAGCAAUAUAAUGACGACGGCUGGAUUUGAACUGGAGAGAAUUUUCCUGGUUUGGUAGGAUCUACGGAGAGUGAUGCAGAGAAGUAGAGGACCAGUCUGAUAAAAAGGAGGGAGCGAAUCGUACCGAACUGCAACAGGACUCAAGGGUGAGUAGCCCGAUGCCGGAGAGAACUCACGUAAGGGAAAUCGGCAAAAUGGAUGAGUAACUUUGGGAGAAUUAUUGGCUCUAGCAUGCUAGAACUGGGCUUACAAGGGGAAUCUGACUGUUUAAUAAAAACAUAGCCUUCUGAUGACGGAAGGUGAAUUCUGCCCAGUGCUUGGGACGUUAAGGAAGUAAUAUUUAGUACGCACAUGUAAACGGCGGGAGUAACUAUGACUCUCUUAAGGUAGCCAAAUGCCUCGUCAUCUAAUUAGUGACGCGCAUGAAUGGAGCAACGAGAUUCCCACUGUCCCUACGUGGGAAGCGCGAACCUACAGCCAAGGGAACGGGCUUGGGAUAAGCAGCGGGGAAAGAAGACCCUGUUGAGCUUGACUCUAGUGAGACAAAGGCACCUGCUGCGAUGGCGGAGCAAGGUGGGGGAAACUGCAAGACCACUGGCAUAUGGAGUGGGUGCGUUAGUUGUCUGAUGGGGAGUUUGGCUGGGGCGGCACGACUGCUAAAAGAUAACGCAGUUGUCCAAAGGUGAGCUACGAGGGGAAGGAAACCACUCAUUGAGCAGAAGGGCAAAAGCUUGCUUUAGGCUCUAGUAUGAACUGGAGCUACUGGAAACAGGGGCCUAUAGAUCCUCUUCCAGGUUAUGGGGAGAGGUGACGGAAAAGUUACCACAGGGAUAACUGGCUUGUGGCGGCCGAGCGAACAUAGCGACGCCGCUUUUUGAUUCUUCGAUGUCGGCUCUUCCUAGCAUGGUGAAGCAGAAAUCACCUAGUGUUGGAUUGUUCACCCACCAACAGGGAACGUGAGCUGGGUUUAGACCGUCGCGAGACAGGUUAGUUUUACCCUACUGCUGUUGCUUGAGAGUAGGCCAGAGGAGUACGAGAGGAAGAGCUGGUCGGGACCGCUGGUGAGGCUGUUGUGUGUUAGCGCAGGAGCGCAGCUACGUCCUAUGCAUAAUGGCUGAAAGCCUCUAAGCCAGAAAGCAGACUUGAUAGCUGUUUGUCAUGGAGACGACAUGAGAAAGGAAGCAAGCUGUACGGCGCUAGCCUUGAGCGAGUGUCCGAGGCUGUGCUUUCCUUUUUGACGCGGGUUUACAGGGGGUGAGUGAGCAAGUAACUGGGUAAGUAGAUGAGUGAGAGAGUGUUGGUGGGUGAGUACUAAGUGGGUGAUUGAUUGACGUUACUAAGGAAUUAGUAAGUGAUUGAUUAACAGAUAAGUGAUUAACGGACUGAGUAAGUAAACUAGUGGGUAGGGAACUGAGUAA